UUGCUUAUUUGUUUUGUAGUAUUAUCUAGAAAUCUUUCUUUCUAUCACUUUGAAUGGCCAUCUCCCUCGUAUCAUUUUACUAUUGCUAUAUAGGAAUUGUAUGAUAUUCACUUUUUUACCAUUAUAGUAUUAUCUGGUUCUGGGAAUGUAAAUUCCAAGAAUGUAAAUUCCAAGGAGAGAACAGCACCACAUAGGAUUAGAAUCAACAUAGAAACAGAGGUUUUGUUUCCUUUAGCUAAAUAAAUUGGCCUUUGGAAACCCACACUCAUACGUUACUGAAUUUAUUUCUGGUGGGAGGAUGGAAGUCCUAAAAUAGAUGCUAGGCAUUUCUAAUACUUCAAGGAUUAGUGAAAAAUAUGACGGAAGUGGGCAUGUGAGGAAUCAGCUAGAAAUUGUUGUUGGCAUUUCCUAACAUUUUUCUCCACAAUAGCGGUGUAUCAAAACAACAGUCAACUGUGCUGUACCAGGAAUUGUGUGUAACUUGGUAACAAGACCUCUGGUCAGACAUCACCUGGUGAAUUUUGUCUUUGGUCAGAUAUGCUACAGAGUGCAUGUUCUGAAUAAACUCCUCCAGCAAGAGUAAGAAAGCAGUGACAUUGUAUAGUGCGUAUAUUAUAUGUUACAUUUCCUUUGAUUUGGCCUUUAUGUCUCUCAGCCUGUAAUUGCUUUCUGCUUUUGGUUUGGUGAUGAUCCAGGUUACAUAAAGACUGUUUGACUGGAAACAUUUGGAUAAUCUCCCAGUGACUGAAAGUUGCCGCCGGGACAGUAUUUUGCCUUCAACUUCAAUGCCUGAGCUUAUACACUUCAGCAGAAGUUUCAAAUGUUACAGCAGAAUGUGGCGUAACUGCAUCAGUAGUCAAGGGAAGAGCCAACGAUGUCAUCUAUCUGGACUUCAGUAAGACCUUUGACACAGUCCCCCAUAACAUCCUUCUCUCCAAAUUGGAAGGAUAUGGAUUUGACAAGUGGACUGUUCAGUGGAUGAAAAACUGGUUACGAGAUUGUACCCAGAGAGUUGUGUUCAGUGGCUCAAUGUCGGGAUGGAGACCAGUGGCAAGUGGUGUCCCUCAGGAGUCAGUACUGGGACUAGUGCUCUUUAACAUCUUCAUAAUGUCAUCAACAGUGGGAUCAAGUGUACUCUCAGCAAGGCUAUAGAUGAUACCAAGCUGUGUGAUGCAGUUGACACAUUCAAGGAACAGGAUGCCACCUGGAGAGACCUAUGUAGGCCCAAGCAGUGGGCCCAGGUGAACCUCAUGAGGUUCAAUAAAUUCAAAUGCAAGAUCUUG